rnacentral:lncRNA from 1 species
UUACUUAUUAUUACUAGAUGGGUUUAAUAAACUCUCCAGAAGUAAUCUCAAAUAGCAUUCAGAAACUGCUACAAACAGAUAAAUAUUACAUCACAAGACCUCAGAACCGCAGCAAAUCAUACUACAAGUUACAGAACAAAGUCUAUUAAAUCUCCUUAUCAGAACAUGGUUGCAACCGAUUCAAGAAAAGAGUUUCAUCCUGGCUUUGAAUUGCCAAUUGUCAUCAAACUCACACCUCAUGCAUUGCUUGAUUGCUUCAGUGCAGUUCGUCCAUACCAGUAAACUUGCUACAAAGCAUGGAAAGAAACAGAAUAAGGUACUGCAGUGCACAAAAAUGAUUCUGGCAGCAAGUACUCUACAAAGCUGAUUCUGGCAAUAAAUGACUACACACAUUGACAAAAGAAAUGAUUCUGGGAGUAUGUGUUCUACACACAUUGAUAUAAAACUGGUUCUAGGUUGCUGCAUGAAGCCAUUGAACUGCAUACCAAUCAUGAUGUGGCUGUUAAUUUAGCAAGUUUGAUUUAUCCUGUAGGAUCAGAUGUUUCCAGCACCUACCUUUCAUUCUGUAAUAUAAUUGUGGCACAGAGAAGCAGCUUAUUAAGCCAAAUACUAUGCUUCAGACGAAUGACCAGCUUAUGUUCCUCUAUAAGUUUUGAAGAUUUCAGAGAACUAACACGCGCACAGCUAGCUUUCUUUUUGUGAUGAUGCACAAGCACAAAACAUCGCAAGCAAGCUGCAAGACUGAUCAAUAGAACUACAUCCUAAUCGACACCUCUACCCAGGGAAUCUACAUCCUCAUCACGACCCGGAGAUCCACGCCUCAUCACGACCCGCAGGCCGCGGAUCCACAUUUGAGAGAUCUACUACGAACAGGAAAAGCGUAUGAGACAGAUCAGAGGGGAUCAAGAACUCGCAUACCUUGAGAGCAGCGUCGUCGAAGACGGCUUCUUGGAUGCGCCGACGAGCAGGCGGACGGCGGCGGCGGAGGAAACCGAGCAGGCGACGGUGGCUCCCGCAGCGAUAGGCCCUCGAUGUGGUGUGCGGGCGCUUGUUCCCC